rnacentral:rRNA from 1 species
UACGAAGGGGGCUAGCGUUGCUCGGAAUGACUGGGCGUAAAGGGCGCGUAGGCGGAUGGCACAGUCAGAUGUGAAAUUCCCGGGCUUAACCUGGGGGCUGCAUUUGAUACGUGUUGUCUUGAGUUCGGAAGAGGGUCGUGGAAUUCCCAGUGUAGAGGUGAAAUUCGUAGAUAUUGGGAAGAACACCGGUGGCGAAGGCGGCUCUCUGGACCGAUACUGACGCUGAGGCGCGAAAGCGUGGGGAGCGAACAGG